AGAAGUCUGGUUGGGCCCUAGCUCACGGUUUCCCCCUACAGGUGACCGUGGCGAGACAGGCCGCGGCCAGAUGUGGGGCGCAAGGACCGGCGCCUUGCUCCGGGUGUGGGGGCUGUGGCCCGCAGGGGUCCGCGGGCGGAGACCUCUAGGCUGCAAUGCUGCGUCUCUGGCCGGAAACAAUUCCCCCCAGUGUUGGAACUGCGGCGGCCCAGGGGUCCCCAAGCGGGGAGACGGGUUCUUCUGCCCACAGUGCCGCGCGCUGCAGCCACCUGACCUCACUCGAGAUUACUUCAGCCUCAUGGACUGCAACCGUGCCUUCGGAGUGGACACAGCGAAGCUCCAGAAUAGGUACCAGCAGCUACAGCGUCUUGUCCACCCUGAUUUCUUCAGCCAGAGGUCUCAGACUGAAAAAGACUUCUCAGAGAAGCAUGCGACCCUGGUGAAUGAUGCCUAUAAGACCCUCCUGGCCCCGCUGAGCAGGGGACUAUACCUUCUAAAGCUCCAUGGAGUAGAGAUUCCCGAAGGGACAGAUUAUGCAAUGGACCAGCAAUUCCUCAUGGAAAUAAUGGAAAUCAAUGAAAAACUUGCAGAAGCUCAAAGUGAAGCUGCUAUGAAAGAGAUUGAAUCUAUUGUCAGAGCUAAACAGAAGGAACUGAGUGACAAUGUGAGCAAAGCUUUUGAACAAGGCGAAGAAUGAGGUGGCCAUUUGUAGAAAUGACCCAGGAGACUAUGUUUUAUAUCCAAUUGAGACUAUAAUGAGGGCAAGGGAAAUGGAGAAAGAUGAAGAGAAUUUGGAAGCAUUUCACAAAUAAAGCCCAUAGGAAUUUCUAACUGAUUAAGUAUGGGGGUGAACAAGAAGGAGGCAUCAAUGAUGACACUUA